rnacentral:lncRNA from 1 species
CUCUUAAGUCCAGUGUGUUUUCAGGAGGAUCAAUCAAUACCGGUUUAAUAGAAGAGAUCGUGAAGGAAGGAAUGAAAAUAAAGAAAAACAUUUGAUUAACUAUGUAAUUUGAGUGGAAUUUUCGUUUUUACCUUUUCAUUAUCCCUUAUAUACUAAAUCACAAGUCACACAACCAAUCCUAUUUUGCCACAUGUUUUAAGUUUCAUUUAUCAAAAAAAGUUAAAAAAAAUUGAAACAAAGCAGUUUUUGACAUCUAUAUUUCCAACGAAAAAAAAGAACAAAAUUUUUGUAUUCCUUGCCACGAUCUC